UACGUAGGGUGCGAGCGUUGUCCGGAAUUAUUGGGCGUAAAGAGCUCGUAGGCGGUCUGUCGCGUCGAUCGUGAAAACUUGGGGCUUAACCCUGAGCUUGCGGUCGAUACGGGCAUGACUGGAGUUCGGCAGGGGAGACUGGAAUUCCUGGUGUAGCGGUGAAAUGCGCAGAUAUCAGGAGGAACACCGGUGGCGAAGGCGGAUCUCUGGGCCUGUCCUGACGCUCAGGCGCGAAAGCUAGGGGAGCAAACAGG
rnacentral:rRNA from 1 species